GUAAUAAACGUUUGCCGUCAGUCCAUGAAAGCCUCUCACCCACUCACUAAUCCUAACCCUACGUACGCAAGUGGCUUAUAUCAGCUUGGGUUUUACUAGGGCGAGUGAAAGACGAAGUGUUACCUGAUGACGGAGGGAAAGAACGAGACCGGGUUGGGCUCCUCGUCCUCGGUGGCGCAGGCCUGGGCCUGUGUGGAGAGCUGUCUGCUUUCAGUGUAGGGACUGCAACGGUUUUCAUUCCAGCAUGGAUCCACAUUGGAUUUUAGCCCGAGGGCCUCCCCCAGCCAUGACGACCAGCAAGCUUGGACAGUAAUGGGUUGUAUAUAAGGAUUACCGAAUCAGGAUACACAAGCUUACUGUGUUCCCUUACAGUUACAUUAAAAAAAGAAGUAAUCAGAUUACUGUUACAUUUGAAAAGAUGCUGAUAACU